rnacentral:lncRNA from 1 species
GGCGGGAGUGAGGGAGUACAGGGUUGCUGUGUCCUGGUGUCUGGUGAAGCCUGCUCUUUGAAAGGGACUGGCCUUGGGGUGGGGGUGCUGAGUUUGCCUGGGUGUAGCUGCUGCAGAUGCUAAUUUGAUCUCACUUCCCGACAUCAACAUCGCUAGCACCUUGCUAUGCUGCCCAGAGCUGAUAAGGCACAUCACCAGGGUGGACCAGCUGCCUCUUCACCCCUCCUUAAGCAGACCGGAAGUACUGAUGAAUCCUUCCACACAUCUCUACAAAGGGGGCUCUGCCCACUUCUCAAAAGCCGAACCCAAGAAGCUGAGAACAGACCCACCUGUGCAUGACUGCGUAGGCCAGGCAGCUUCAUGAGAGGAGAGCCGCUGUCCAGAGCGUUGCUGAAGGGGAUGUCUGCUCCAACGGGACCCAGGCACUCCCAGAACAGGUCACCUGUACAUAAGGAUGAAAUCCAGCCACAGAAAAUGGCCAGGUGACAGCUGCAAGUUCAUCUUCAGAGUGACCAAAAAAGCUGGAGAGAGUCAUGCCCAGCUGCUGCUCCCGGAGGCUGAGUAGGAAGAGACAUGGCUGCCCUUGCUGCCAUUGCUGUCUCAACCUGGGAGCCUUGCUGAGAUGUGGGCAAAAAUGUGAGUCAAGAAAGGCCACGACUCUCUCUACAGUAUGGUUCUCUGGACUUCUUCCCAACUGGCUCACUGCCUCUACUUGAAUCUCACCCCAGAGUUCACAUGCAAAGAUUACCAAACGCCAACCUGGAUGCUGAGCUGCAGCCAGCACCCAUCAUUUCUGUGACAAGGAAUGUCCUCAAUCUCUCUUCCUCAGUUUUGCCAUCUUUAAAGAGGGACUCCUAGGGUCCUGGGUAGAUCAGAGGUGAUACACAGAGAGCACCUAGCACAGGGCUUUCACGUCACGAACACCCAAUAAACCACAGUUAUUAUU